AGAAUCAACGCUGGCGGCGUGCCUAACACAUGCAAGUCGAACGAGAAAGUGGAGCAAUCCAUGAGUACAGUGGCGCACGGGUGAGUAACACGUGACUAACCUACCCUUGAGUGGGGAAUAAACCUGGAGAAAUCUAGGCUAAUACCGCAUAACACCUACGGGUCAAAGGAGCAAUUCGCUUAAGGAGGGGGUCGCGGCAGAUUAGCUAGUUGGCGGGGUAAUGGCCCACCAAGGCAGUGAUCUGUAUCCGGCCUGAGAGGGCGCACGGACACACUGGAACUGAAACACGGUCCAGACUCCUACGGGAGGCAGCAGUGGGGAAUUUUGCGCAAUGGGGGAAACCCUGACGCAGCAACGCCGCGUGGAGGAUGAAGUCCCUUGGGACGUAAACUCCUUUCGACCGGGAAGAUAAUGACGGUACCGGAAGAAGAAGCCCCGGCUAACUUCGUGCCAGCAGCCGC
rnacentral:rRNA from 1 species